rnacentral:rRNA from 2 species
AUGCCUAGUACGGCGAGUGAAGCGGCAAGAGCUCAAAUUUGAAAUCUGGCUCCUCCGGGGUCCGAGUUGUAAUUUGCAGAGGAUGCUUCGGGUGCGGUCCCCGUCUAAGUACCCUGGAAUGGGUCGUCAUAGAGGGUGAGAAUCCCGUCUGGGACGGGUGGCCGUGUCCGUGUGAAGCUCCUUCGACGAGUCGAGUUGUUUGGGAAUGCAGCUCUAAAUGGGUGGUAAAUUUCAUCUAAAGCUAAAUAUUGGCCGGAGACCGAUAGCGCACAAGUAGAGUGAUCGAAAGAUGAAAAGCACUUUGAAAAGAGAGUUAAACAGCACGUGAAAUUGUUGAAAGGGAAGCGCUUGCGACCAGACUCGCCCGCGGGGGUUCAGCCGGUACUCGUACCGGUGUACUCCCCCGUGGGCGGGCCAGCGUCGGUUUGGGCGGCCGGUCAAAGGCCUCCGGAAUGUAUCGCCCUUCGGGGCGUCUUAUAGCCGGGGGUGCAAUGCGGCCAGCCUGGACCGAGGAACGCGCUUCGGCUCGGACGCUGGCGUAAUGGUCGUAAGCGGCCCGUCUUGAACAACGGACCA